AGCGAACGCUGGCGGCGGGCCUAACACAUGCAAGUCGAACGGACUCUUCGGGGUUUGUGGGGGUCGGGGGGGUGAGACGUGGUGACGUGCCUUUGAGUUCGGUGUAACUCAGGGAGGCAUGUGCUAAUAACGAAUGUGCUAUUCGGGGGAAAGAUUUAUUGCUUUUUGAGCGGCCCGCGUCUGAUUAGGUGGGUGGGGAGGUACAGGCACCCCAAGGAGACGUUGAGUGGCUGGUCGGUGAGGAUGAUCAGGCACGUUGGGAAUGAGACACAGCCCACACUCCGACGGGAGGCAGCAGAGGAGAAUCUUGCGCACUGAGGGAAAGCGUAACGCAGCCAUGCCGCGUGAAUCAUGAAUGUCUUAGGAUAGUAAAAUUCUUUCUCCCGAGACGAUAAUGACGGUACCCGGAGAAGAAGCCCCGGCUAACUUCGUG
rnacentral:rRNA from 1 species